AGCUUACGUGGCAGCUCCUAUCAAGGACAUGCAACCCAGUCCUGAGGCCAGGAAGACUGUGUGGGAGCCAGAGUGAAGCGGGAGUGAGAGGGAGCUGGCUGGAGGACCAGGUGGACACGCUGACCUUCCAGAGCCAGUCUCUGCGGGACAGAGCCCGCCGCUUCGAAGAGGCCUUGAGGAAGAACACAGAGGAGCAGCUGGAGAUUGCAUUGGCUCCUUAUCAGCACUUGGAAGAAGACAUGAAGAGUCUGAAGCAGGUAUUAGAGAUGAAGAAUCAGCAAAUACACGAGCAAGAAAAGAAGAUUCUUGAGCUGGAAAAGCUGGCAGAAAAGAACAUUAUCCUAGAAGAAAAGAUCCAGGUUCUCCAACAGCAGAACGAAGACCUCAAAGCAAGGAUUGACCAAAACACAGUUGUCACCAGACAGCUGUCGGAGGAAAAUGCUAACCUCCAGGAAUAUGUUGAGAAGGAAACCCAGGAGAAGAAGAGAUUGAGCCGAACCAAUGAAGAGCUGCUUUGGAAGCUCCAAACUGGGGACCCGACCAGUCCGAUUAAACUCUCGCCCACAUCU
rnacentral:sRNA from 1 species